rnacentral:snRNA from 1 species
GGUGCUCGCUUUAGCAGCACAUAAACUAAAAAAAAUCGGAACGAUACAGAGAAGAUUAGCAUGGCCCCUGUGCAAGGAUGACACACAAAUUUGUGAAGUGUUCCAUUAAAA